rnacentral:rRNA from 1 species
GCCUAAUACAUGCAAGUCGAACGAACUCUGGUAUUGAUUGGUGCUUGCAUCAUGAUUUACAUUUGAGUGAGUGGCGAACUGGUGAGUAACACGUGGGAAACCUGCCCAGAAGCGGGGGAUAACACCUGGAAACAGAUGCUAAUACCGCAUAACAACUUGGACCGCAUGGUCCGAGUUUGAAAGAUGGCUUCGGCUAUCACUUUUGGAUGGUCCCGCGGCGUAUUAGCUAGAUGGUGGGGUAACGGCUCACCAUGGCAAUGAUACGUAGCCGACCUGAGAGGGUAAUCGGCCACAUUGGGACUGAGACACGGCCCAAACUCCUACGGGAGGCAGCAGUAGGGAAUCUUCCACAAUGGACGAAAGUCUGAUGGAGCAACGCCGCGUGAGUGAAGAAGGGUUUCGGCUCGUAAAACUCUGUUGUUAAAGAAGAACAUAUCUGAGAGUAACUGUUCAGGUAUUGACGGUAUUUAACCAGAAAGCCACGGCUAACUACGUGCCAGCAGCCGCGGUAAUACGUAGGUGGCAAGCGUUGUCCGGAUUUAUUGGGCGUAAAGCGAGCGCAGGCGGUUUUUUAAGUCUGAUGUGAAAGCCUUCGGCUCAACCGAAGAAGUGCAUCGGAAACUGGGAAACUUGAGUGCAGAAGAGGACAGUGGAACUCCAUGUGUAGCGGUGAAAUGCGUAGAUAUAUGGAAGAACACCAGUGGCGAAGGCGGCUGUCUGGUCUGUAACUGACGCUGAGCUCGAAAGUAUGGGUAGCAAACAGGAUUAGAUACCCUGGUAGUCCAUACCGUAAACGAUGAAUGCUAAGUGUUGGAGGGUUUCCGCCCUUUCAGUGCUGCAGCUAACGCAUUAAGCAUUCCGCCUGGGGAGUACGGCCGCAAGGCUGAAACUCAAAGGAAUUGACGGGGGCCCGCACAAGCGGUGGAGCAUGUGGUUUAAUUCGAAGCUACGCGAAGAACCUUACCAGGUCUUGACAUACUAUGCAAAUCUAAGAGAUUAGACGUUCCCUUCGGGGACAUGGAUACAGGUGGUGCAUGGUUGUCGUCAGCUCGUGUCGUGAGAUGUUGGGUUAAGUCCCGCAACGAGCGCAACCCUUAUUAUCAGUUGCCAGCAUUAAGUUGGGCACUCUGGUGAGACUGCCGGUGACAAACCGGAGGAAGGUGGGGAUGACGUCAAAUCAUCAUGCCCCUUAUGACCUGGGCUACACACGUGCUACAAUGGAUGGUACAACGAGUUGCGAACUCGCGAGAGUAAGCUAAUCUCUUAAAGCCAUUCUCAGUUCGGAUUGUAGGCUGCAACUCGCCUACAUGAAGUCGGAAUCGCUAGUAAUCGCGGAUCAGCAUGCCGCGGUGAAUACGUUCCCGGGCCUUGUACACACCGCCCGUCACACCAUGAGAGUUUGUAACACCCAAAGUCGGUGGGGUAACCUUUUAGGA